rnacentral:rRNA from 1 species
UACGUAGGGGCCGAGCGUUGUCCGGAGUUAUUGGGCGUAAAGCGCGCGCAGGCGGCUUGGCGCGCCCGACGUGAAAGCCCCCGGCUUAACCGGGGAGAGUCGUCGGGGACGGCCGGGCUUGAGGGCGGGAGAGGGUGGUGGAAUUCCCGGUGUAGUGGUGAAAUGCGUAGAGAUCGGGAGGAACACCUGUGGCGAAGGCGGCCACCUGGGCCGACCCUGACGCUGAGGCGCGAAGGCGUGGGGAGCGAACCGG